rnacentral:lncRNA from 1 species
CCCUGUGCCACCUCACUUCUCAUGCACCCAUUUGAAUUCACGAGAAAUAACUUCUCGUGAAUCUUCUCCCACAAAGAAGCCAUCCCACGCCCCUUCUUUGUACGCCAUUUUGAAUGGAUAAGAAUGAGAUUGGUUGGCCAUUCAAAUUCAAAAGAUGUUUGAAUUCGAAUGGAUAACAAAUCUCUGCGCCCACCUUUUAUCUUAUGCGCCACUUCUUCCACACGAGAAAUAGUUUCUCGUGAAAAUUAUCCAUGCACAAGAGAGCCCAUGCCCUUCUCUUCUCAUGCCCAGAGUGGAUAAGGAUGGAUUGUUUUGCAUUUGAAUUCAAAUUCGAUUUGAAUUCAAAUGAGCAACCACUUAUCUUUAUCCUCUCACGCGAUAAAAAUGCUGUAAAGAUACGGUCUUGCAUCGUUUUAAAAAGGAGAUAAGAUAGGGCGUGCGCACAUAACAUCUGAGAGAGAAGGGUGGCAUGAGAGAGCUUUUCUGCAUGGAAAAAGAAAAGAAAAGGAGAGAAAGGAAAGAAACAAGUGGGCGCAAGUUUCUUCGAAGUGUACCCUAGGAUUUCAGCCUGGGGUUCGAGAAGUGAGAAAGUAAGCUAUGAGUGUCGUGAGCCCACCAGAUUUUAUAGAGAGCAUCAUCAACCUCUCAAGUGCAUCUACUGAUGAUCUGGAGCAUCCGAAGAGUCGGCAGAUCAAAAUCGAAGGAGUUCGAUCAAUAUCGGCCAUCAAAAGGGUUCAGUCACGAACUAGCAUUUGUAAGGAGUCGAUCAGACCGAAAGCAUCAUGUGGAUGAUCCGCAGAGGCCAGACAUACUGUGUAGCUGUAUUGUGAUGAUCAGAUCCUUCCGACGGUGAUCAGAUUGCGGUAAUCGACUACCCACACA